rnacentral:rRNA from 1 species
AUUGAACGCUGGCGGCAUGCUUUACACAUCCAAGUCGAACGGCAGCGCGGGCUUCGGCCUGGCGGCGAGUGGCGAACGGGUGAGUAAUGCAUCGGAACGUGCCCAGUAGUGGGGGAUAGCCCGGCGAAAGCCGGAUUAAUACCGCAUACGACCUGAGGGUGAAAGCGGGGGACCGAAAGGCCUCGCGCCAUUGGAGCGGCCGAUGUCGGAUUAGCUAGUUGGUGGGGUAAAGGCUUACCAAGGCGACGAUCCGUAGCUGGUCUGAGAGGACGACCAGCCACACUGGGACUGAGACACGGCCCAGACUCCUACGGGAGGCAGCAGUGGGGAAUUUUGGACAAUGGGGGCAACCCUGAUCCAGCCAUGCCGCGUGCGGGAAGAAGGCCUUCGGGUUGUAAACCGCUUUUGUUCGGGAAGAAAUCCUCUGGGCUAAUACCCCGGGGGGAUGACGGUACCGGAAGAAUAAGCACCGGCUAACUACGUG